rnacentral:rRNA from 1 species
CUCAAUGAUAUUUCAAUAGCCGCAAUAUUAUUGUGCUAAGGUAGCAUAAUCAUUUGUUUUUUAAUUAAAAACUAGAAUAAAAGAUUUAACAUUUUUAUUUCUAUCUCAUAUAUAUAUUUAUUUAAUUUAUCUUAAAUAUAAAAAGAUAUUUAUAUAAUAAAAAGACGACAAGACCCUAUUGAACUUAACUAAAGUUAAACUGGGGCAGUUAAUCAAAUAAAAUUUUAAUUUCAACUCUAAAAAUAUCUAAUACAAUUAAAUUUAUCAAGUUACCAUAGGGAUAACAGCGUAAUAAUUUUCUAUAGUUCUUAUUUAAAAAAUAAUUUGCGACCUCGAUGUUGAAUUAAUAAUCUAUUAAAUGCAAUAAUUAAAAAGAAAGUC